AUUCACAAAUCACAUACCCACAAAAAAACGCGUUGCUCUCUGUGCUUGCCUCCCCCUCUUUCGUUCCUUUCAUUCAUUUGUUGCAUUCCUCAACGAAAGAAAGAAAGAAAAGAGUGAGCCACUGAAAACCCUAGCUAGCCUCCACCACCGCCGAACGGAGUGAACCACUGCCACCUUUCGUGGUUGUCCGAGGCUUCUCGCUUCUCGAUUAGUCCCUGUUCGCUCUCUUCUUCCUCGCUCGGCGUCCAUCUUCCGUCGUCUUCGUCCUGGUCGCCGUCGCCUUGUCGCCGUCGUAUCGUCGCUGCCGUUUCGUCGCGCUCAACCGCUCUCCGUCGCGCUCAACCGCUCUCGAAGAACCCUAACCCACAGAGAGCGAGCCCUUCUCCCUGUGCGGCGCCGUUGUUCUCGCUCACCCCAGAGUCCUAACUCUGUCGUCGUCUCGUUGAUACAAGCCCCUCUAUGCAGCGUUGUCAUGCUCCAUCAUCCCAUUGCAGUCGAGCCUCCCUCGUCUCUCUGUUUCCAGCGCUGUAGUCUCUGUCGUGAAACUGAGACUGAUCAAUUGGAGUACAUAAUUCCAGAAGAGUCAUCAUUGGAACAGCACCUACAAGUUUCUGAUACAAUGUUUAUAGACUUUGUAAGAUACUUGCUUAGCAUCAACCCUAAAAGAAGACCUACUGCUAGACAAGCACUAAAGCAUCCUUGGCUUUCCCAUGUUUACAAGUCCAAAUAGUACGAGUUAUUUUUAUCUUCUAAUUUUUUUUUUCUCCCUGCAUAUAGGAAAGCUUGCAAUCACAUUUUUGGUUUGUUUGUAAGCAAGAAGAAGAAAAUUCACUGCCUCAAGAUGUAUAUGUUUUGUUUUUGUUCCUUGUUGUAACAGUUUGUUCUUGUACAGAACUUGUGUCCAUUGUUUUUUGCCUUCCAUGGAUGGGGAGGUUUGAGAAUUUUACUAAAAUAACAUUUAUGUUUUACCUUUA